AACGAACGCUGGCGGCAGGCUUAACACAUGCAAGUCGAGCGCCCCGCAAGGGGAGCGGCAGACGGGUGAGUAACGCGUGGGAAUCUACCCAUCCCUACGGGAUAACACAGAGAAAUUUGUGCUAAUACCGUAUACGUCCUUCGGGAGAAAGAUUUAUCGGGGAUGGAUGAGCCCGCGUCGGAUUAGCUAGUUGGUGGGGUAAUGGCCUACCAAGGCGACGAUCCGUAGCUGGUCUGAGAGGAUGACCAGCCACAUUGGGACUGAGACACGGCCCAAACUCCUACGGGAGGCAGCAGUGGGGAAUAUUGGACAAUGGGCGCAAGCUUGAUCCAGCCAUGCCGCGUGAGUGAUGACGGCCUUAGGGUUGUAAAGCUCUUUCACCCACGACGAUAAUGACGGUAGUGGGAGAAGAAGCCCCGGCUAACUUCGUGCCAGCCGCCGCGGUAACAC
rnacentral:rRNA from 1 species